AUGGUGUUCUGUUGUUGGUCCGUGUCUUUGUUCAGCCAUUUCCCAUUCACGAUCGAAGCCCACACUUUGUCUCCCAGCACACCCCUAGGGCUUACUGACUCCCCUUUCCAUUUUGUAGAUAAUCCAAUUGUGGUAAUCAGCAGCUCUGAAGAGACUGAAGAAAGUCAGUCCUCCAGUGAUUUCGGGGACAGCAGCGACCCCGAAGAUCUCAUGGAAUGCUCAGGCAGCACAAGGCCUGCUCCCGGUCACCCCAAUGAAAACCUCAGAGAGUGCGGCCAGGAAAGCCGAUCCCUGGUGUUCUUUGACCUGAAGAUUGACAGCAAAAAUGAUGGGAGUCGGAAGGGAGAAAAAAUGAAUACUUAUGACCGAAAUUUUUUUAUUUUAGAAAAAAUCUGGUUUUUUGAUUCCUUUGGGUGUGCCCAGGUGUCUCACUCUUGGCUUCAGAUGCAUGGGUUAA
rnacentral:lncRNA from 1 species